UAAAGACAGGGAGGUUAGCCAGUGUAAGUAUCGGCUGGAUACUCUGUGCUGGGGAAGGGGAUAAAGGGAAUGAACGGUGACAGAUGAAGAAGAGGAAAA
rnacentral:lncRNA from 1 species